UACGAAGGGGGCUAGCGUUGCUCGGAAUCACUGGGCGUAAAGGGUGCGUAGGCGGGUCUUUAAGUCAGGGGUGAAAUCCUGGAGCUCAACUCCAGAACUGCCUUUGAUACUGAGGAUCUUGAGUUCGGGAGAGGUGAGUGGAACUGCGAGUGUAGAGGUGAAAUUCGUAGAUAUUCGCAAGAACACCAGUGGCGAAGGCGGUCUGCUGGGCAGUUGCUGACACUGAGGCGCGACAGCGUGGGGAGCAAACAGG
rnacentral:rRNA from 1 species